CAAUAGCGUAUAUUAAAGUUGUUGCGGUUAAAAAGCUCGUAGUUGGAUUUCUGCUGAGGAUGACCGGUCCGCCCUGUGGGUGUGCAUCUGGCUCAGCCUUGGCAUCUUCCUGAAGAACGUAGCUGCACUUGACUGUGUGGUGCGGUAUUUAGGACAUUUACUUUGAGGAAAUUAGAGUGUUUCAAGCAAGCGCACGCUUUGAAUACAUUAGCAUGGAAUAAUAAGAUAGGACCUUGGUUCUAUUUUGUUGGUUUCUAGAGCUGAGGUAAUGAUUGAUAGGGAUAGUUGGGGGCAUUCGUAUUUAACUGUCAGGGGUGAAAUUCUUGGAUUUGUUAAAGACGGACUACUGCGAAAGCAUUUGCCAAGGAUGUUUUCAUUGA
rnacentral:rRNA from 1 species